AGUAGUUCGGUGUGAGUGUGCUCAUGGAAAAUGUAGUGUAACACUGAGGAGUUCUUGGGAAGUUAUCUCAUUAUACUAUUAACGAAAAAAUUGUCUCUGAGCCAACGCUGAAUUAAUCCGGUCCAGUUUUUUCAAUAACAUUUUUCAUUAGACUUUUCUAAUUAAAAGUUAUAAAGGUUUUAGUUUUGCUUCUUGAUCGCGGAAAAUUUCCCUCUCGCACUCUGUACGUUAUAUAAUUUCAAUCUGUGAUUUUCUAGAAAAUAAAAUACCUAUUUUGAUCAUCAAUUUAACUGAUCUUUCCUUAAUAAAUACUAUAUCAAUAUAAGCAUGAAUGAUUAAAAAAUAUUAUUUAUUACAUUCAGGCUUAUAUUUAAAUAUUGUUAUUUUAUAUGAAAGGAAUUAUCUUUUGGUUCUUUCUAAACUAUAGAUAAACCAUACAUCAUCUUAUUCUGUGUUCCCUGGUCCAAUGGAUUAAAAAUAAUCAACAAAGAUUAUACACAUUGUGACGUGCCAACGAAAUAUUAUGAUUUCGCAUUAUAUUAUAAAAUGGGCCAACACAUACGCAUAUUAGUAUUUGUUGAAGACAUUUUGCAAAACUAAAAUGCAACUAUUCUGAUCUUUUGAAAGGAAUGAGAAAAUCAGGACAAAGUAUAACUUAUAUACUUAUAUCAUCCCGUGGGAAACAAAAUAGUAACUAUAAAUAAAAAGCAUAAUUAUAUACCGUUAUUGAAAUUGAAAUUUGGUAUAUUUCUUUAAAUAUAUAUAAGAUAUUCUUAUGAUCAUAUGAUUGAUCAGUUCCAUCUAUUAGGGCAAAAAAUUAUUAUUGGUUUGCAGAUUGAUAUUUUUCCUAUAAAAUAUGAAAUACAGUACAUAUUAUGUUGAACCGGAUACAGGUUUGUUGAAAAAAUAUUAUAUUCAGAUAUGCUAUUCAUUAAUCAAACAUCUAUCAUAAUUAAUAAAUACAAAAUAAGGAUUAA
rnacentral:lncRNA from 1 species